rnacentral:rRNA from 1 species
GAUGAACGCUGGCGGCGUGCCUAAUACAUGCAAGUCGAGCGAACGGACGAGAAGCUUGCUUCUCUGAUGUUAGCGGCGGACGGGUGAGUAACACGUGGAUAACCUACCUAUAAGACUGGGAUAACUUCGGGAAACCGGAGCUAAUACCGGAUGAUAUUUUGAACCGCAUGGUUCAAAAGUGAAAGACGGUCUUGCUGUCACUUAUAGAUGGAUCCGCGCUGCAUUAGCUAGUUGGUAAGGUAACGGCUUACCAAGGCAAUGAUGCAUAGCCGACCUGAGAGGGUGAUCGGCCACACUGGAACUGAGACACGGUCCAGACUCCUACGGGAGGCAGCAGUAGGGAAUCUUCCGCAAAGGGCGAAAGCCUGACGGAGCAACGCCGCGUGAGUGAUGAAGGUCUUCGGAUCGUAAAACUCUGUUAUUAGGGAAGAACAUAUGUGUAAGUAACUGUGCACAUCUUGACGGUACCUAAUCAGAAAGCCACGGCUAACUACGUG